AAAAGGUAAUCACGGUUCAUAUCCCGGUCGAUAUAAGUCUAGUGAAACUAACCGUGAAUCAUUCAAAACUGUUACAAUGUCAAUUUCAUGUCAUCUCUCAUUUUUAGUGAUACAUAACAACUUUUAUGAUUAGUGGACCCAUUCAUAAUGGUCUAUAUGAUAUUUUUUAAGUAGUAACAAUUUUCAAGAGGCAUAAUACAAAUAAAAUCAACGAGGUUUAUUUAAGAAAAUUCUCGGGCAAAAGGUACCACUUUUAAAAGGAGCUAUUUACAGUUUAACAGAUAAAGUGGUACCUUUUGCUUGAGAGUGACAUGAAUAAUGAAUUGAGUCGGACCAAGCUAACUCUGCAGGCCAUUUGUAAUGACAAAUGACAAUGUCAUUAUUAAUGUCAGAUUUCUAUGUAAAUAUGAUUUUAUAAUGACACUCAUACUUUUGUUAUAUUGAUAUCGGUGCAUAGUUAGCUUAGAUGAACUCUAUGCAUGAAUAUAUUUCUAAUUUUUGAACUUAUAAAUUAAAAACAGAUUUUUUUUUAUUAUGACAUUAAAAAUUAUAAAAUUUAUUUAUAUUGCUAUAUUAUCUUCCAUGCCUUCAUAGCCAAUCUGUUUUUGUUGAAACUAAUUUUUGAUUAUGUCCUUCUCGAUUCGCAUAAACUGUGUUAUAAUGUACAGCCGCGUUCAAUAAUAACUACACGACGUAGCGCGCAAAAAUAUAUAUGACAAACUUUACUAGCUAUACUUAUAUAAAAAAAAUUUAGACUAAAGUUUUUGGUUUUUCCAAUCAAAAACAAAUAUAUACCAAUUAAUCCAGCUUUCAAGAUAAAGCACAUUUCUCGAAAGUCCAAGCUAAUUUGAACCUUAAAUCGGAAUGCUAAAGUUGAAUUUCCAUUGGCGCGUGUGUGGUCAAUAAAUCGUACUAUGCCUGGAAAAGGGUUAAGUGACACAUGAACUUAAUAUAGUUCGUUUUUUUCAGCAUUAGAAAUAAGGUAAACAAUCUUGAUGUGUCUUUUAAUUGAAAAACACAUUUUAAAAAUAAGUUACGGCAAAUAUGUAACAAUUAUGAAUCUAAUACAAUCAUUUAUAUUCUUCUGCUUUCAUAAGUAAUAAUUACUGAUUUUAAGAAGCGUUUUUCAAUUAAAAGACAUGUCAGAUCGCUUACCUUCUUUCAAGUUCUUUCUAAUGCCAAAAAAAACGAACUAUAGCUGCCGCCAUACAAUCGAAAUUUACAUAAGUACAAAACUUCUACUCGUAACUAGUACAACGUAAACUGGUACAGUCGGACGUCAAAGAUGUUUACAUUUUUCGCCGUUUUACAAAAAAGUAAGGAGUAAAGUGCAAAAGUGUAAAGAUAUCUUUGACAUCGACUAUACCAGACAUAUAUAUAAUAAGUAUGUUACAUAAAUGUUCAUAAUUUACAAGUUCCAUCUAAUUUAAGAAUGUCCUUUUAAAAUGAGACGGUUAAUAUUCGAUUGUAUGGAAGCAGCAUUUUGAUGGCUGGUGACUUUGAAGUCAUAUAUAUUUUUUCACGCUUCGUUUUGUUCUUAUAAAAACUGAAUUGUAAAAAAUAUACAGGGUGUAACGUUUAGCCCUUCAUCCGUCGGAUUUAGUGAACAAACUUUUGCCAUCGUAUUUUCACGGAAACGCACGAACGUGUUAUGCUAUAGGCAGUCUCAGAACAAAUAAAUACUGAGGUAGACUGAACCACUACUGAGGUAGGAUGACUCAAUACUUCAGUCAACCUCAGUGUUUAUUUGUACUGAGACUGACUGAAAUAGCAUAACACGUUCGUGCGUUUCCGUGAAAAUACGAUGGUAAAGUAUUAUUCACUAAAUCUGUAUGUAUCUACAUCCUACACCCAUAACUGUCGUUAUGUAAAAAUACAUAAAGUAAAGAGUUUAAGAAAUGAAAA